CAAUUCUUUUGUCUUGACUUUCAGUAAAGUUUUUCAUAACUUCCAUCAUACCCUUAAGAAAUGUCUCAUUAUCAUCCUCUACUAUUUUUUUCCUUUUCUUGAUUUUUUCCUUCUCGUUAACAUUAGAAGAUGAUCUUUUAGAAUACUCACCUUGUUUAUGACCUUUUCGGGAUCCAGCAUGUUCAUUUUCAGAACCAGCAACAUUUUCUCCUUCAUUAAAUACGCUAGGUCCAGUGACAUUUUCAGCUCUAGUAAAUGAACUAGGUUCGGUGAAAUCUUCAGCUGUAGCAAAU
rnacentral:lncRNA from 1 species